rnacentral:lncRNA from 10 species
GCUGAAUAGCUGAGAGGCGCACCCGGGCGGCCAGCUGGGCUCGGAGUGCAGCGGGGUUAGGAUGGACGAGGACGUGUUGCACCCUGAAGAGCCUCAUCAUCGGUGAGAGUGGGGUGGGCAAGUCCAGGUGAGGCGGGCGUGCGGGCUGUGAUGAGGGUGGCUGGGCUCUUUCUGCCUCCGUAGCCGCUGUCUCUUGGGCCGCGGUGGGAACUGUCAACCGCUGCAAGUGUCCACGAUGGCGGCCGGGCUCGGGCCGGCUCCGCCCGCGCCCUCCUCGGCCUCUGGGCCGCGCUCUCCCGCGACGUUUGCUUUCCUCUCCCCACCCGCGCCUGCCUGUUCCCGGCCUCUGCCACGCCCAAGUUCUCUGGGUCGCUCUCCCUCCUGUGGCGCCGAGAAAACACCAUUCCGAGGGCCGCCGCUCGGCCGGCCGGUUUGCUGCGCGGAGCUCAGGGCGUGGCGGGCUGGUUUGGGCCCGAAUCCGGCCGGGGGCGCCUCGCCUCGAGCCCCUCGGGGUUCAGGCUGCCUGCCACCCCGAGACCCAGAAGACGUAACUUUCCCGCUUGAGGGUUUCUGUGGGGCCUUCUCUAAAUACAUAAUGUCCUCGGGAAGUUUCGUGAUGCCUUAGGACCCAUUCCUGGCCUGUUUGGGCGCAGCUUAAUGUCGCUUCUUUUACUUUUUUAUUAGUCGUCUGUGAAAGAACAGCUGGAUCUUGUGAAGUGCUGGAAAUUUUCUCUUUAGUGUAAGUGGUCCACGGCUGAAGCAGUCGGACCACCUUUGAAAAUAACGUGUAAUUGUUAUUUCUCAUUUUGCCACAUCCUGUGGAGACAAAAGAUUAGUGUUGUGUCUUUUCAUUUUUUAUUUUUCUUCUUGGGGAAAAUAAUAUUGACAAUGGAGUUGAGUAUAAGCCUGCUCUUGAGGUUCACAGAUGAUACCUUUGAUCCAGAACUUGCAGCAACAAUAGAACAUGAACUUCAUGAGGACAGAGACUUGGGCUUAUUCACCACCAAGUCCCCAGUUCCUAACUCCAGUCCUUUGGAGUUAGAAGCAGGUUGCCCAAAGUUCAUGAUGCAGAAAAACCAUUUUUUCCGAGAUUUAUAGGAUAAGUCCUGUAAUUCCAGAUUGCUUGGCGCCAAUCAGGUACUCAAUAAAUGUUUGUUGAGUGAA